rnacentral:rRNA from 1 species
GACGAACCGAGCGAACGUUGUUCGGAAUCACUGGGCUUAAAGGGCGCGUAGGCGGGCUGUCAAGUCUGGGGUGAAAUCCCGCAGCUCAACCGUGGAACUGCCUCAGAUACUGACGGUCUCGAGGGGGAUAGGGGCGAGCGGAACUGUGAGUGGAGCGGUGAAAUGCGUUGAUAUUCACAGGAACUCCGGUGGCGAAGGCGGCUCGCUGGAACGCAACUGACGCUGAGACGCGAAAGCGUGGGGAGCAAACAGG